rnacentral:rRNA from 1 species
UACAGAGGUCCCAAGCGUUGUUCGGAUUCACGGGGCGUAAAGGGUGCGUAGGCGGUCGGGUAAGUCUGAUGUGAAAUCUCACAGCUUAACUGUGAAACUGCAUUGGAUACUAUCCGGCUCGAGGAAUGGAGGGGAGACUGGAAUACUUGGUGUAGCAGUGAAAUGCGUAGAUAUCAAGUGGAACACCAGUGGCGAAGGCGAGUCUCUGGACAUUUCCUGACGCUGAGGCACGAAAGCCAGGGGAGCAAACGGG